rnacentral:rRNA from 1 species
AGAACGAACGCUGGCGGCAUGCCUAAUACAUGCAAGUCGAACGAACUCUUCGGAGUUAGUGGCGCACGGGUGCGUAACGCGUGGGAAUCUGCCCCUUGGUUCGGAAUAACAGUUGGAAACGACUGCUAAUACCGGAUGAUGACGAAAGUCCAAAGAUUUAUCGCCAAGGGAUGAGCCCGCGUAGGAUUAGCUAGUUGGUGAGGUAAAGGCUCACCAAGGCAACGAUCCUUAGCUGGUCUGAGAGGAUGAUCAGCCACACUGGGACUGAGACACGGCCCAGACUCCUACGGGAGGCAGCAGUAGGGAAUAUUGGACAA